rnacentral:tRNA from 1 species
GGAGGUGUGACUCAGCAGUAGAGUACGUGCCUAGGAAGCAUGAGGCCCUGAGUUCAAACCCUAGUACUACCA